rnacentral:rRNA from 1 species
AUUGAACGCUGGCGGCAGGCCUAACACAUGCAAGUCGAACGAGUGGCGGACGGGUGAGUAAUAUCUGGGAAACUGCCCGAUGGAGGGGGAUAACUACUGGAAAAGGUAGCUAAUACCGCAUACCAUCGGAUGUGCCCAGAUGGGAUUAGCUUGUAGGGGAGGUAACGGCUCACCUAGGCGACGAUACCUAGCUGGUCUGAGAGGAUGACCAGCCACACUGGAACUGAGACACGGUCCAGACUCCGACGGGAGGCAGCAGUGGGGAAUAUUGCACAAUGGGCGCAAGCCUGAUGCAGCCAUGCCGCGUGUAUGAAGAAGGCCUUCGGGUUGUAAAGUACUUUCAGCGGGGAGGCGUUACCCGCAGAAGAAGCACCGGCUAACUCCGUGCCAGCAGCCGCGGUAAUAC